CUACGAGAAAGAGGGUCCUGCUCUGUUUUGUCUUUUUUGGGCGCAGUGAGUGACAGAGAAGAGACAAAAUGCAUCAUAUUCUAAAGGGGCCUCACUCUGUUCGCCUUGACCCGACGGUCCUUGAAGGAGAUGAAGGAACCUCCAGAGGACACUUGGCAAUGGCUGCAGCUUCCCAGGUGGCUCGAUGGUAAAGAACCCCCGUGCCAACUCAGAUCACCUGCUACUGAAGGAGUCCUAGACGAGGCUGCUGACUCUCCACCCCUGAGAGCCAUUCUGCAACACACAGGGAGUGUGUUUCUAGGCCCAGAGAAGAGCUGAGAAGGAUGCUGAAGGCAGCUUAGUCCUCAAAGUUCCUUGAGCAUAAAGACAGUGAAAGUGAAGUCGCUCGGUCGUGUCCAACUCUUUGCGACCCCAUGGACUGUAACCCACCAGGUUCCUCUGUCCAAGGAAUUCUCCAGGCAAGAAUCCUAGAGAGGGUUGCCAUUCCCUUCUCCAGGGGAUUUUUUCAAUUCAGGGAUCGAACCCGGGUCUCCCGCAUUGCAGGCAGAUGCUUUACCAUCUGAGCCACCAGGGAAGCCCCCUUGAGCAUAAUAUGCAAUAGAAGACAAGCCCUGCGAUGUUUUUUUCAACCAGACCUUCUGCCACAGCGAAUCCACGGCAUCUGAUUCUAUUUCAGGGCAAAGGAAGUGAAGAUGCUUUGUUGCAAUGCUUCCUGGCAUAUGUGUGCAAGUACUGGGCUGCUUUGGGGGAAUUUUCUGCUAUUUUUUUCCAGUAGUCACGUACGGAUGUGAGAGUUGCACCAUAAAGAAGGCUGAGCGCUGAAGAAUUGAUGCUUUUGAACGGUGGGGCUGGAGAAGACUCUUGAGAGUCCCUUGGACUGCAAGGAGAUCCAACGAGUCCAUCCUAAAGGAAAUCAACAUUGAAUAUUCAUUGGAAGGACUGAUGCUGAAACUCCAAUCCUUUGGCCACCUGAUGCGAAGAACUGACUCAUUAGAAAAGACCCUGAUGGCGGGAAAGAUUGAGGGCAGGAGAAGAAGGGGACGACAGAGGAUGAGACGGUUGGAUGGCAGCACCGACUCAGCGGACAUGAAUUUGAGCAAGCCCCAGGACAUAGUGAAGGAUAAGGAAGGCUGCUGUGCUGCACUCAAUGGGAUUGCAAAGACUUGGACACGACUGAGCGACUGAACAACAAAAAAAGUGGAAGGCGGGUAGAAUUGUGUGCCUCUCCCACUGACAUAUGGGCAAAGAACUGGAUGUGAAAUUCCUUUUCCUAUCUCUGCUUUUCCUCACUUGGUUCAAUUUCUACUUUCUCACUGGAAGAAACAUGAUUCAAUUUUUCUGAAACAUCACCACCAGAUUGAGAUCCUAUAGCUCUUUUUAAGUGUCUCCUCAUGCCAGGAGAAAAAAUGUUUAAAAUCAUCGAGGUCAUUUACAUAUUUCUGACAUGUUUUCAUGAGGUUACACAGGAUUUCAUAAGAAAAAUCGAUGCUUCGUGUAACAGAAUCAUAUGUAGAUUGAAAAAAACAAACGUGUGUACAUUUCGUGCGAUGCCAAGGAACCCAAAUCUGACAUUCUCCUGAAAUAAAAGGGACUCGAGAAAUUCUUUUCUCCAAGUUUAGAAACCAUUCAAACUUGAUGAGUUUGCUGUUUUGAUCAUAAUUUAAAUUUCUUCCAGAUUUGUACCCUUGUGGGGGGG
ensembl:lncRNA